rnacentral:pre_miRNA from 1 species
CCGACGUGAUCGGUCUACCGAGCAAUAUCACCCGCUCGGUGGAAGAUCUUCCUUUCGUCGU